UUUCAAUCCAAUAAGCGGAGGAAAAGAAACCAACAGGGAUUGCCUCAGUAGCGGCGAGUGAAGCGGCAAGAGCUCAGAUUUGAAAUCUCACCUAGUGUGCGAGUUGUAAAUUGCAGGUUGGAGUCUCGGGUUAGACGUGUGUGCAAGUCCCUUGGAACAGGGUGCCACUGAGGGUGAGAGCCCCGUAGCGUGCAUGUCGACACCUGUGAGGCCCUUCUGACGAGUCGAGUUGUUUGGGAAUGCAGCUCUAAGUGGGUGGUAAAUUCCAUCUAAGGCUAAAUAUUGGCGAGAGACCGAUAGCGAACAAGUACUGUGAAGGAAAGAUGAAAAGCACUUUGAAAAGAGAGUGAAACAGCACGUGAAAUUGUUGAAAGGGAAGGGUAUUGGGCUCGACAUGGGAUUUACGCAUCGUUGCCUCUCGUGGGCGGCGCUCUGGGUUUUUCCUGGGCCAGCAUCGGUUUUCGUUGCAGGAUAAGGACAAUUGGAAUGUGGCUCCUCGGAGUGUUAUAGCCUUUUGUAGAUGCUGCGUAUGGGGACCGAGGGCUGCGGCGGACUCGUUUCGUCUCGGAUGCUGCACAACGGGCAUC
rnacentral:rRNA from 1 species